UCUAAGUUUGAUGGCGACCGGCGCACGGGUGAGUAACACGUAUCCAACCUGCCGAUGACUCGGGGAUAGCCUUUCGAAAGAAAGAUUAAUACCCGAUGGCAUAGUUCUUCCGCAUGGUGGAACUAUUAAAGAAUUUCGGUUAUCGAUGGGGAUGCGUUCCAUUAGGUUGUUGGCGGGGUAACGGCCCACCAAGCCUUCGAUGGAUAGGGGUUCUGAGAGGAAGGUCCCCCACAUUGGAACUGAGACACGGUCCAAACUCCUACGGGAGGCAGCAUG
rnacentral:rRNA from 1 species